rnacentral:tRNA from 1 species
GAGGCAGUAGCUCAGUCGGUAGAGCAUCGGCCUUUUAAGCCGAGGGUCCUGGGUUCGAGCCCCAGCUGCCUUA